rnacentral:ncRNA from 2 species
UAUAAUUUUGGCGAUGGGGCUCGCCUAAUGCUGCGAAGCUGAUGGCUCCUACCACAAG